rnacentral:rRNA from 1 species
GUGAGGAAUUUUCCGCAAUGGGCGAAAGCCUGACGGAGCAAUGCCGCGUGAAGGAUGAAGGCCUAUGGGUUGUAAACUUCUUUUCUCAGAAAAGAAUUAUGACGGUAUCUGAGGAAUAAGCAUCGGCUAACUCUGUGCCAGCAGCCGCGGUAAGACAGAGGAUGCAAGCGUUAUCCGGAAUGAUUGGGCGUAAAGCGUCUGUAGGUUGUUUAAAAAGUAUUCUGUCAAAGAUUAGGGCUUAACCCUAGAUAGGCAGAAUAAACUUUUAAGCUAGAGUUUGGUAGAGGCAGAGGGAAUUCCCGGUGGAGCGGUGAAAUGCGUAGAUAUCGGGAGGAACACCAAAGCGAAGGCACUCUGCUGGGCCAAUACUAACACUGAGAGACGAAAGCGAGGGGAGCAAAUGGGAUUAGAUACCCCGGUAGUCC